rnacentral:snRNA from 1 species
GUGCUAGCUUUGGCAGCACAUAUGCUAAAAUUGGAUCGAUACAGAGAAGACUAGCAUGGCCCCUGCGAAAGGAUGACACGCAAAUUCAUGAAGCUCUAUCAUGACUG